rnacentral:tRNA from 1 species
CUCAAGGAAGAAGCAACAGCCCCGCCAUCAGCACCCAAAGCUGACAUUCUAACUAAACUAUUCCCUG